UACGAAGGGGGCUAGCGUUGUUCGGAAUUACUGGGCGUAAAGCGCGCGCAGGCGGCUAUCCAAGUCAGUGGUGAAAGCCCGGAGCUCAACUCCGGAACUGCCAUUGAAACUGUUUAGCUUGAGGAUGAGAGAGGUGAGUGGAAUUCCCAGUGUAGAGGUGAAAUUCGUAGAUAUUGGGAAGAACACCGGUGGCGAAGGCGGCUCACUGGCUCG
rnacentral:rRNA from 1 species